rnacentral:tRNA from 1 species
GAUCCGUUAGCUCAGUUGGUAGGGCACAACACUUUUAAUGUUGGGGGCUUGGGUUCUUUCAGUCGCUUUCGCUUUA